AUUUAACGCUGGCGGCAGUCCUAACACAUGCAAGUCGAGCGGAUGAAGGGAGCUUGCUCCUGGAUUCAGCGGCGGACGGGUGAGUAAUGCCUAUGAAACUGCCUGGUAGUGUUGGAUAACGUCCGGAAACGGGCGCUAAUACCGCAUACUUCCUGAGGUAGAAAGUGGGUGAUCUUUGGACCUCUCGCUAUCAAAUUAUCCUCGUUCGGCUUAGCUAGUUGUUGGGGUAAAGGCCUACCAAGACGACGAUCCGUAACUGCUCCGAGAGGAUGAUCAGUCACACUGGAACUGAGCCACGGUUCAGACUCCUACGGCAGGCCGCAGCGGGGAAUAUUCGGCAAUGGGCGAAAGAAUGCUCCAGCCAUGCCGCGUGUGCCAAGCAGGUCUUCGGAUUGUAAAGCACUUUAAGCUGGGAGGAAGGGCCGUACGUUCAUACCUUGCUGUUUUGACGUUACCAACCGAAUAAGCCCCGGCUAACUUCGUG
rnacentral:rRNA from 1 species